UGGGGAAUAUUGCACAAUGGGGGAAACCCUGAUGCAGCGACGCCGCGUGAACGAAGAAGGUAUUCGUAUCGUAAAGUUCUGUCCUAUGGGAAGAUAAUGACAGUACCAUAGAAGAAAGCUCCGGCUAAAUACGUGCCAGCAGCCGCGGUAAUACGUAUGGAGCGAGCGUUGUCCGGAAUUAUUGGGCGUAAAGGGUACGCAGGCGGUUUAAUAAGUCGAAUGUUAAAGAUCGGGGCUCAACCCCGCAAAGCAUUGGAAACUGAUAAACUUGAGUAGUGGAGAGGAAAGUGGAAUUCCUAGUGUAGUGGUGAAAUACGUAGAUAUUAGGAGGAAUACCAGUAGCGAAGGCGACUUUCUGGACACAAACUGACGCUGAGGUACGAAAGCGUGGGGUGCAAACAGG
rnacentral:rRNA from 1 species